GCAGUCGUGGCCGAGUGGUUAAGGCGAUGGACUAUAAGUUCAAUGGACUAUAAAUCCGCACAGCUUCGAAUCCUGUCGACUGCC
rnacentral:tRNA from 1 species